GGCUGAACAGCCCUGGGGUGUGGGGAGACAAAGGGAUCCAAGUCGUGUCUUUCCUGCUUUGGGAAUCGGUGUCCCGGCUGUCUGUGGAACAUCAGAGAAGGUAUGGACUCUGAGCCACAGAAACAGGAUCCAGUAGAGAAGAACCAAGUGUGAUGUUGAAUCUGCUAGAGAGGUUCCUGGAGCAAGAGUGAAGAGAUCAGGCCCCAUCCCUGGGACAUUUCAGUUUGAUAUGAGUGAAGCAGUUUCUUAUUGAGCCCCAGGAAGAAGAAAUAGUGCAGAAGAGAAGGAAUAAUAAUGGGUCAGCUAGACAGAAGAUGAGAAUCAUCAAACAUGUGUCCCACUAGCCAGACCUAUCAACAGA